rnacentral:rRNA from 1 species
AUUGAACGCUGGCGGCAUGCCUUACACAUGCAAGUCGAACGGCAGCACGGGGCAACCUGGUGGCGAGUGGCGAACGGGUGAGUAAUGCAUCGGAACGUACCUUUCAGUGGGGGAUAACGUAGCGAAAGUUACGCUAAUACCGCAUAUUCUGUGAGCAGGAAAGCAGGGGAUCGCAAGACCUUGCGCUGAUUGAGCGGCCGAUGUCAGAUUAGCUAGUUGGUGAGGUAAAGGCUCACCAAGGCGACGAUCUGUAGCGGGUCUGAGAGGAUGAUCCGCCACACUGGAACUGAGGCACGGUCCAGACUCCUACGGGAGGCAGCAGUGGGGAAUUUUGGACAAUGGGGGCAACCCUGAGCCAGCCAUGCCGCGUGAGUGAAGAAGGCCUUCGGGUUGUAAAGCUCUCUCGGCCGGGAAGAAAUCGCACGGGCUAAUACCCUGUGUGGAUGACGGUACCGGAAUAAGAAGCACCGGCUAACUACGUGCCAGCAGCCGCAGUAACAC